rnacentral:rRNA from 1 species
UACGGGGGGGGCAAGCGUUGUUCGGAAUUACUGGGCGUAAAGGGCUCGUAGGCGGCCAACUAAGUCAGACGUGAAAUCCCUCGGCUUAACCGGGGAACUGCGUCUGAUACUGGAUGGCUUGAGUUUGGGAGAGGGAUGCGGAAUUCCAGGUGUAGCGGUGAAAUGCGUAGAUAUCUGGAGGAACACCGGUGGCGAAGGCGGCAUCCUGGACCGGUAUUGACGCUGAGGCGCGAAAGCCAGGG